GUGGGAGGGGGCUUGCUCCCGAUGACGGUGGGUCAGUCAGCACAUGUGUCGCCUGACACACCGUCAUCGGGAGCAAGCCCCCUCCCAC
rnacentral:misc_RNA from 1 species